AUAAUAUUCCCUCUGUUCGGAAAUAUUUGUUCUAAAAAUGCAUGUAUCUAGACUUAUUUUAGUUAUAAAUACAUCCAUUUUAUUCAUUUCUAGGGUAAGGAUUUUCGGACGAAGGGAGUAAUAU
rfam:Hordeum vulgare subsp. vulgare, WGS project CAJW01000000 data, contig: morex_contig_204981